rnacentral:sRNA from 1 species
UAUGUAUACUUGCAGAAAUGGCUGCAACAAUUAUUCGAUGUGCGCGGCGCAGUUUAUGAUUUCGGUGAGCAGCUGCAACUCGAAAAUAAAGAUCAUUGGCCUACACAGGAAUUAUGCCAGAGCACAGCAGAUCGCACACAUGCACAUGUAGAUUUCCAUUUCCCGGACUCCGCGUCUGCAUCAUCAACCCCUAAAUUGUGAGGGAUGGCUGUACGUCGUCCAAGGAUGUUGCAGCUGUUGCAAGGUGAUUUCCAAGUAUACAUACAUACAUAUGUACAAACAUUCGUACAAACAUGCAACCGAAGAACAUUCAUCUGUCGAUACGAGCACGAGGUGCGCCCUAAAAGUUUGCACAUUUGCGUCUCUUGUCACCCAAGGAUGUUUCGUCACAGACCGUUGUGCUUUGCUAAAUACAGAUGAUAUAAUAAUGUCCCCAGCAAUUGGUUUAAUUUGGA